UCGGGGCAUGUCAAAGCUAGUUUCCAUAUAGGGACACUGACCUACGCAAAUUAAUAUCUAGUAUCUAUUUCUGAAAAAGCCAGCAACCUAUUUGGAGUUAUCUUUGGUUGUGGUAAUGUAGAUAGCGACGUAUUGUUCAACGUUAACUUAUUAGAGUGAGUGAUGAUCAAACGCAAGACGGACUGCACUAAUUUACGUUGUGUUGUUGACCUGACAUAUUGGGAUAUUUCACAUAAGACAAAGGUUCACGACCGCCAUAAAAGCGUUUGCUGAAAUAAUUAUGGCGCACAGAAUUUUGGAUCUAUUUAAUGUCACAAGAACAUCAUUUAUGCAAGUGUGCGAAGAAAUUUUAGAUUUCCUUAGGCAAUCUGAAACCAUCACUAAAGGUGUUGACGAUAUAUUUCGUUACGCUGCUGGAAAAAUCGAAGUUCCAGAAAUACCAGUGUGUCAUGUUGAACUUUCGCAGAAGAAACUUGACGCGGUUAUGACAAUGUUAAAGAGAAGCCAUGUAAAGAUUACAAUUUUCGGAAGGAAUUCAUGUGGAAAAAGCACAGUGAUUAAUGCGCUUCUGGGAAGUGACGUGCUGCCAAUGGGAAUGGGUCAUGUGACUAACUGUUUUGUGCAUAUGCAGGGAAAAGAUCUACAAGAAGGAUUUGUAGAGACUGAAAAUGAGCCCGGCGUCCAGACACCC